rnacentral:rRNA from 1 species
AGCUCCAUUAGUGUAUUCAAAAGUUGUUGCUGUGCGUACAUUCUGAUUAGUGAACAUUGUAGAUGCAUUCCAAUUCAAAAUCUGACGCUCCUUAUAGGUUAAAACGCUCGUAGUCGAUGUUUGAACUCCACGAAAUGGUCCCGCGAAAGCGGCGCACUGUGGCGUGAGGUUCCUUUCUAGCAACGCUUUUACGAGCGCUUCUAGACAUUCACCGAAAGGAAAUCGGAUUGCUCAACGAAGGCCUUUGGCCGUUGAACGUUUCAGUUUGGAAUGAUGAAAAAUGACUUUGUCUCUUUUCGUCGGUUUAUGAGAUUAAGUAAUGAGUAAUGGAAGCGGUCAGGGCAGUGACUACUUUGGCGACAGGGGUGAAAUCCAGUGACCGCCAAAAGAGUACCUAAUGCGAAAGCACUCUGCAGGGACGCCUUCGUCA